GAUGAAGAACGUAGCGAAAUGCGAUAAGUAAUGUGAAUUGCAGAAUCCAGUGAAUCAUCGAAUCUUUGAACGCACAUUGCGCCCGCCAGCAUUCUGGCGGGCAUGCCUGUUCGAGCGUCAUUUCAACCCUCGACCUCCCCUUGGGGAGGUCGGCGUUGGGGACCGGCAGCACACCGCCGGCCCUGAAAUGGAGUGGCGGCCCGUCCGCGGCGACCUCUGCGUAGUAAUACAGCUCGCACCGGAACCCCGACGCGGCCACGCCGUAAAACACCCAACUUCUGAACGUUGACCUCGAAUCAGGUAGGACUACCCGCUGAACUUAAGCAUAUCAAUAAGCGGAGGA
rnacentral:misc_RNA from 1 species